rnacentral:rRNA from 1 species
GCUGGCGGCGUGCCUAAUACAUGCAAGUCGAGCGGACAGAAGGGAGCUUGCUCCCGGAUGUUAGCGGCGGACGGGUGAGUAACACGUGGGUAACCUGCCUGUAAGACUGGGAUAACUCCGGGAAACCGGAGCUAAUACCGGAUAGUUCCUUGAACCGCAUGGUUCAAGGAUGAAAGACGGUUUCGGCUGUCACUUACAGAUGGACCCGCGGCGCAUUAGCUAGUUGGUGGGGUAAUGGCUCACCAAGGCGACGAUGCGUAGCCGACCUGAGAGGGUGAUCGGCCACACUGGGACUGAGACACGGCCCAGACUCCUACGGGAGGCAGCAGUAGGGAAUCUUCCGCAAUGGACGAAAGUCUGACGGAGCAACGCCGCGUGAGUGAUGAAGGUUUUCGGAUCGUAAAGCUCUGUUGUUAGGGAAGAACAAGUGCGAGAGUAACUGCUCGCACCUUGACGGUACCUAACCAGAAAGCCACGGCUAACUACGUGCCAGCAGCCGCGGUAAUACGUAGGUGGCAAGCGUUGUCCGGAAUUAUUGGGCGUAAAGGGCUCGCAGGCGGUUUCUUAAGUCUGAUGUGAAAGCCCCCGGCUCAACCGGGGAGGGUCAUUGGAAACUGGGAAACUUGAGUGCAGAAGAGGAGAGUGGAAUUCCACGUGUAGCGGUGAAAUGCGUAGAGAUGUGGAGGAACACCAGUGGCGAAGGCGACUCUCUGGUCUGUAACUGACGCUGAGGAGCGAAAGCGUGGGGAGCGAACAGGAUUAGAUACCCUGGUAGUCCACGCCGUAAACGAUGAGUGCUAAGUGUUAGGGGGUUUCC